AAGUCGUAACAAGGUUUCCGUAGGUGAACCUGCGGAAGGAUCAUUAGUAUAUGAUACCUCUUAGGGGUCUUUGACUCCAUCCACACCUGUGCACUGUUAAUUGUUAGCUCCCUUUCGGAAUUGGGUACUGAGGGUUUAUUAGGAGUCGUCUCUCGGGGCUUCUCCUACCGGAAGGGUAGCACUUAAUACCUACUUUGUGUUUGUUAUUAGUCUGAAUGUUAUGGCUCUUCGAGCAACUUAACACAACUUUCAACGAUGGAUCUCUUGGCUUCCA
rnacentral:misc_RNA from 1 species